rnacentral:tRNA from 1 species
UGUAAGAUAGUGUACGGUGCACACUUGCCUUUGAAGCACAAAGAAAAGGUUCAAUUCCUUCUCUUACAA